AGGUGAGCUCAGUGGUAGAGUGCUUGCCUACUACACACCAGGCCCUGGGUUCAAUCCUCAGCACCUG
rnacentral:tRNA from 1 species